AUUUGAAGUGCCAAACCAGGAGGCCAGUGACAAGGGAGAUGAGCAGAAAAGCAAUGAUCAGAAUGGCCACAACUACCCUUCGCUUCGGGCCACGCUUCUCCAUCUUCUUGGAGUUCAUGGCAGGGAGGAACUCCACCCCUUCCUCCAGGUUGUUCAUGUCCUGCUGCCGCGCCGUGUACUUCAUGCCGCCGGCGGGCACCGCGGGGCCGCGCUCCAUGCCCAGCGCCGCGGGCUCAGGCCGCCAUGGCGCGGCGCUCCGCGGCCCCUCC
rnacentral:lncRNA from 1 species